rnacentral:rRNA from 1 species
CUACGGGGGGCUGCAGUGGGGAAUAUUGCACAAUGGGCGCAAGCCUGAUGCAGCCAUGCCGCGUGUAUGAAGAAGGCCUUCGGGUUGUAAAGUACUUUCAGCGGGGAGGAAGGGAGUAAAGUUAAUACCUUUGCUCAUUGACGUUACCCGCAGAAGAAGCACCGGCUAACUCCGUGCCAGCAGCCGCGGUAAUACGGAGGGUGCAAGCGUUAAUCGGAAUUACUGGGCGUAAAGCGCACGCAGGCGGUUUGUUAAGUCAGAUGUGAAAUCCCCGGGCUCAACCUGGGAACUGCAUCUGAUACUGGCAAGCUUGAGUAUCGUAGAGGGGGGUAGAAUUCCAGGUGGAGCGGUGAAAUGCGUAGAGAUCUGGAGGAAUACCGGUGGCGAAGGCGGCCCCCUGGACGAAGACUGACGCUCAGGUGCGAAAGCGUGGGGAGCAAACAGGAUUAGAUACCCUAGUAGUC